AAAUUGACGGGGGCCCGCACAAGCGGUGGAGCAUGUGGUUUAAUCGAAGCAACGCGAAGAACCUUUACCUGGGCUUGACAUCUGCGGAAUUUCUAUGAAAGUAGGAAGUGCCCUUCGGGGAGCCGCAAGACAGGUGCUGCAUGGCUGUCGUCAGCUCGUGCCGUGAGAUGUUGGGUUAAGUCCCGCAACGAGCGCAACCCUUAUCUUUAGUUACCAUCAUUCAGUUGGGGACUCUAAAGAUACUGCCCCGGUCAACGGGGAGGAAGGUGGGAUGACGUCAAGUCCUCAUGGCCCUUAUGUCCAGGGCUACACACGUGCUACAAUGGGCAGUACAAAGGGUAGCAAGCCUGCGAAGGUGAGCCAAUCUCAAAAAGCUGUUCGUAGUUCGGAUUGGAGUCUGCAACUCGACUCCAUGAAGCUGGAAUCGCUAGUAAUCGCGGAUCAGCAUGCCGCGGUCGAAUACGUUCCCGGGCCUU
rnacentral:rRNA from 1 species